GAUGAACGCUAGCGGCAGGCCUAAUACAUGCAAGUCGAGGGGCAUCAAGGUACACGAAAGUGUAUUGUUGGCGACCGGCGGACGGGUGAGUAAUAGGUAGGUAACCUACCUCAUACUGAGGCAUAGCUGGGAGAAAUUCCAGGUAAUUCCUCAUGAGGUUAUAUGACACAUGUGAUAUAAUCAAAGGUAUCGCAAGGUACUGGUAUGAGAUGGGCUUACUGACCAUUAGCUAGUUGGUGAGAUAAGAGCUCACCAAGGCGAAGAUGGUUAGGGGUUUUGAGAGAGAGAUCCCCCACAUUGGAACUGAGAUACGGUCCAGACUCCUACGGGAGGCAGCAGUAGGGAAUAUUGGGCAAUGGGCGGAAGCCUGACCCAGCCAUGCCGCGUGAAGGAAGACGGCCUUAUGGGUUGUAAAACUUCUUUACUAUGCGACUAACUAGAUUUACGAGAUAAUUCUAUAGAAUGUAGCAUAGCAAAAAGCACCGGA
rnacentral:rRNA from 1 species